rnacentral:rRNA from 1 species
AGAGUUUGAUCCUGGCUCAGAAUGAACGUUGGCGGCGUGGAUUAGGCAUGCAAGUCGUACGGGCCGCAAGCCAGUGGCGCAAGGGUGAGUAAGGCGACGGCAACCAACCCCAUAACUGGGUAUAGCCGCGGGAAACUGCGGGUAAUCCCCAGCGAUGUCCGCGGGAGGCAUCUCCUGUGGACCAAAGCUCCGGCGUCGUGGGGACGGGCCGUCGUGGUAUUAGGUGGUUGGCGGGGUAACGGCCCACCAAGCCUGUGAUGCCUACCGGGCGUGCGAGCGUGGCCCGGCACACUGGGACUGAGACACUGCCCAGACUCCUACGGGAGGCAGCAGUGGGGAAUCUUGCACAAUGGGGGAAACCCUGAUGCAGCGACGCCGCGUGAGCGAUGAAGCCCUUCGGGGUGUAAAGCUCUUUCGUCAGGGAAGAUAGUGACGGUACCUG